AAAGCUCUGCACCUGAUACGA
rnacentral:snRNA from 1 species